rnacentral:snRNA from 1 species
GGAUGUGAGGGCGAUCUGCCUGUGACAUGAACAAAAUAAGAAUAAAUUGAUUGCCAGGGUUGAUUCCACUCAUCUGGCUGGCUAGGCAGGUGUCCCCUUCCUCCCUCACUGCUCCAUGUGCUUUCCUCCCUAAGCUGUGUGUUUAGUUGAAGAGGACGACCUUCCCCAAUAGAGGAGGACCAUUCUUCUGUCAAGGGUAUACGAGUAGCUAUGCUGCACUGCUAGAUUUGCCUAUUAUGAACAUUUCAUAUAAACAGAAUCAUACAAUGCAUGACUUUUUACUU